UUACUAGAAGGCACCAGGUGAAACAACCACAAGCAGGGGAUGGAAGGUCGCAGAUGGAGAAGAAACCCCAAGCAAAUUGGGAGUCCCUGAUGCCAAGUAACAAAAGGUGCCAGUCCUGCACCCUUGGCCGUCCCUGACGAGCCCACUAUUACUAAUGGUGGAUGGCGUGCCUCUCAAUGGACGGUUGCUUCUCAUGGGGUGGAUUCGUCUCCUCCCCCCUCCUAGCGGCUGCGACGACGAUGACGGUUACACUGAGGCACUAAUGCGGGGCUUUAAAGGAAUAAAAAGGAAAGAGCUGAUGACAGGCUUAGAAAGCAACAGAAGAAGAGACCAAGAUGAAGGAGUCUGAGCUAAUGCGAGGAAACCCGCUGAUCAAUAUGAAUAACUUCUGCUCCUUCGACGUGGAAGUAACAAUGCUGCCUACUAUAUUAUAUUGGUCAUGGAGAGACCAAGACACCGAAACGGUUCAUCAACUACACCGUCAUAAGUGAUUUCCACCGCAAGUUUCUGCAUAGGUA